rnacentral:lncRNA from 11 species
GCGACCGCCUACCAUCAUCUGGUGAACGGGAGACGGCUUGCGAUUGGGACUGGACGUGAGAAUGGGAAAACGUGAAGGACCCGAACUGAAGAACGAAGGAACGACCAAAAACAACGCGCUCCACUUGGCUACAGACAAAGCGAGGUAUACCGGGACGUUACGCGGACUGAGGGCAGCGGUACUCAUUCACGAGGAUGACAUCAGUGGGAACGACGAUGCCCGUGUUAUGAGAGCGGUAGCGAAACACGCAUACAUACAUGCAGUAGAAAUGAUCCAACGCGCUCAUAUAUGGGAUAUGGCUUGUGCAUCUAAUUUGUAAAGCUAAAUAUACGUAUAGAAAUGGCAAUGUUACUAAAAGGUGUCGUCGAAUAAGACGACGUGAGGAGAAUGUCGCCGGACCGUUCGCUUUUAUUGGCCUGCACCUGAAAUUUCGCCUAUAGACAGGACAGCCCAGGGGAGGUGAUACACUCGAUGUAUGAAGUCCGCCAAUACAACAACGUAAAAAAAUUUCACUGCUCUUCAAGGCGCUUCGUCAUCAGUCUGAACAAAAAGGUUCCAACAACGUUAGCCAUGCUACUGCUGUCAAAUUUUA